rnacentral:rRNA from 1 species
UGGGGAAUAUUGCACAAUGGGCGCAAGCCUGAUGCAGCCAUGCCGCGUGUGUGAAGAAGGCCUUCGGGUUGUAAAGCACUUUCAGCGGGGAGGAAGGCGGUGAGGUUAAUAACCUCAUCGAUUGACGUUACCCGCAGAAGAAGCACCGGCUAACUCCGUGCCAGCAGCCGCGGUAAUACGGAGGGUGCAAGCGUUAAUCAGAAUUACUGGGCGUAAAGCGCACGCAGGCGGUCUGUCAAGUCGGAUGUGAAAUCCCCGGGCUCAACCUGGGAACUGCAUUCGAAACUGGCAGGCUAGAGUCUUGUAGAGGGGGGUAGAAUUCCAGGUGUAGCGAUGAAAUGCGUAGAGAUCUGGAGGAAUACCGGUGGCGAAGGCGGCCCCCUGGACAAAGACUGACGCUCAGGUGCGAAAGCGUGGGGAGCAAACAGG